rnacentral:rRNA from 1 species
UGAGGAAUAUUGGACAAUGGGCGCAAGCCUGAUCCAGCCAUGCCGCGUGCAGGAUGACGGUCCUAUGGAUUGUAAACUGCUUUUGUACAGGAAGAAACAGUUCUACGUGUAGAACCUUGACGGUACUGUAAGAAUAAGGAUCGGCUAACUCCGUGCCAGCAGCCGCGAUAAUACGGAGGAUCCAAGCGUUAUCCGGAAUCAUUGGGUUUAAAGGGCCCGUAGGCGGUUAGAUAAGUCAGUGGUGAAAGCCCAUCGCUCAACGGUGGAACGGCCAUUGAUACUGUCUGACUUGAAUUAUUAGGAAGUAACUAGAAUAUGUAGUGUAGCGGUGAAAUGCUUAGAGAUUACAUGGAAUACCAAUUGCGAAGGCAGGUUACUACUAAUGGAUUGACGCUGAUGGACGAAAGCGUGGGUAGCGAACAGGAUUAGAUACCCCUGUAGUCCCUGAGCGGGCUGGCAAGGCGCAU